GAUGAACGCUGGCGGCGUGCCUAAUACAUGCAAGUCGAGCGAACGGACGAGGAGCUUGCGUCUUUGAUGUUAGCGGCGGACGGGUGAGUAACACGUGGAUAACCUACCUAUAAGACUGGGAUAACUUCGGGAAACCGGAGCUAAUACCGGAUAAUAUUUUGAACCGCAUGGUUCGAUAGUGAAAGACGGCCUUGCUGGCACUUAUAGAUGGAUCUGCGCUGUAUUAGCUAGUUGGUAAGGUAACGGCUUACCAAGGCAACGAUGCGUAGCCGACCUGAGAGGGUGAUCGGCCACACUGGAACUGAGACACGGUCCAGACUCCUACGGGAGGCAGCAGUAGGGAAUCUUCCGCAAUGGGCGAAAGCCUGACGGAGCAACGCCGCGUGAGUGAUGAAGGUCUUCGGAUCGUAAAACUCUGUUAUUAGGGAAGAACAUAUGUGUAAGUAACUGUGCACGUCUUGACGGUACCUAAUCAGAAAGCCACGGCUAACUACGUG
rnacentral:rRNA from 1 species